UAAUAAUCUAAACCCAGCGACAGUGAAAACCAGGAGGCAGAAGGAGCCUAAAGGAAGAGAUGGAAGGGUCACUCUUGUGUGGCACCUUCCUAUCCUGGCCAGGCGGCAGUGCCUGGGGUAGUUGAAGGGAGCAGCAGUGAGGAUGAGACCUUCAAUUAGAGAAAGGACAAGAAGAGAACGUGGGAAGACCCACACUCGGGCCCACUUUGGUUAAUCCUCCUUAGUUUCCUUGUAAACUAUUAAGGCAGUUAAAUUUUCAACUGCUUGAAUUUACCUAUUUCAAAGAUUCAGCUUUUCACUUGACUUUGAUUGGUCACCAAGAAAAUAUAAGUAUUAUAGCCAUGUUAUUUUCAAAGAGGAAAGCAUAUGUGUUAAACUAAUUACUGGAUAAUGCAAUUCACAGAGGAACAGAGAAUCCUUUUACUUGGGACUGGCCAGUUUCCCUUCAAUGAAUUGGAGAGUGAAGCAUCUGCUUUAAUGGGAAAUUUCAAAUUUCUU
rnacentral:lncRNA from 1 species